AAAAGAAACUAACAAGGAUUCCCUUAGUAACGGCGAGUGAACGGGGAGAAGCCCAGCGCUGAAUCUUUCGGUGUUACACCGUUAAGAAAUGUAGCGUAUAGGUGUGGUUUUCAGUUUGUGCUGCAUGUCCAAAGUCCCUUUGAUAGGGGCCACAUUCCUGAGAGGGUGCGAGACCUGUGCGGACAGUGGAGCAAGCUGUACGAUCAUACCUUGGAGUCGGGUUGCUUGAAAGUGCAGCCUAAAGUGGGUGAUAAACUUCAUCUAAGGCUAAAUAUAGACGCGAAUUCGAUAGCAAACAAGUACUGUGAAGGAAA
rnacentral:rRNA from 1 species